CCUACGGGUGGCAGCAGUCGAGAAUCAUUCACAAUGGGGGAAACCCUGAUGGUGCGACGCCGCGUGGGGGAAUGAAGGUCUUCGGAUUGUAAACCCCUGUCAUGUGGGAGCAAAUUAAAAAGAUAGUACCACAAGAGGAAGAGACGGCUAACUCUGUGCCAGCAGCCGCGGUAAUACAGAGGUCUCAAGCGUUGUUCGGAAUCACUGGGCGUAAAGCGUGCGUAGGCGGUUUCGUAAGUCGUGUGUGAAAGGCGCGGGCUCAACCCGCGGACGGCACAUGAUACUGCGAGACUAGAGUAAGGGAGGGGGAACCGGAAUUCUCGGUGUAGCAGUGAAAUGCGUAGAUAUCGAGAGGAACACUCGUGGCGAAGGCGGGUUCCUGGACAUUAACUGACGCUGAGUCACGAAGGCCAGGGGAGCGAAAGGGAUUAGAUACCCCGGUAGUC
rnacentral:rRNA from 1 species